AACGAACGCUGGCGGCAUGCCUAACACAUGCAAGUCGAACGAGAUCUUCGGGUCUAGUGGCGCACGGGUGCGUAACGCGUGGGAAUCUGCCCUUUGGUUCGGAAUAACAGUUGGAAACGACUGCUAAUACCGGAUGAUGACGAAAGUCCAAAGAUUUAUCGCCAGAGGAUGAGCCCGCGUAGGAUUAGCUAGUUGGUGUGGUAAAGGCGCACCAAGGCGACGAUCCUUAGCUGGUCUGGGAGGAUGAUCAGCCGCACUGGGACUAAGACACGGCCCAGACUCCUACGGGAGGCAGCAGUGGGGAAUAUUGGACAAUGGGCGAAAGCCUGAUCCAGCAAUGCCGCGUGAGUGAUGAAGGCCUUAGGGUUGUAAAGCUCUUUUACCCGGGAUGAUAAUGACAGUACCGGGAGAAUAAGCUCCGGCUAACUCCGUGCCAGCCGCCGCGGUAA
rnacentral:rRNA from 1 species